AGAACACCCGAGCCUGGUGUCUCUGGAGGGAACGCAGAAACGCUCUCUACAACUGCAAGUGGCAGCUUCUGCAGCACUGCCCGGGGGGCCAGGGCCGGGCGGGGCAGCAGGUAACAAGAAGAUGCUUGCCCUGGUCAGGGAGAAAGGUGUAGGACAUCUCCCCUGCCUCCUACAACUUCGUUUUGUAUUUUAAACGUAAAUAAUUGGCUCCAGCCAGAGAGGAACGGAUGCUGAGGGGCACCGUCCUGUGGAGAGCAUGCCCUUCCUGGCCCUAGAGGCAGUGUGGCGGUGAGUCGGACCACAGCCCAUGGCUUGCACUUCCGUUGCAGCACCCCAAGCUUUUCUUUUUAGUUUUCAGACACCCUACCCGUCUCUUCUGGCUGUCAGAGUUGGGGGACCUCCUUUCUAGCUCUCCUUCGAGAACCAAGGCCUGACUCCAGGGCCACCGGUGUGCCAGGGCCUCAGGUAUCAGAGCAGAAGCCCUGGGGAGGAGGAAGAUUAUGCCUGAAGAGAUGUUAAUUCUGUUUUUUUAAAAUUUUUUUGAGACAGGGUCUCGCUAUGCAGUUCAGGCUGGCCUUGAGCUCACUUUGUAACCCAGGCUGGUCUCGAACUCACAAGGAUCCUCCUGCCUCAGCCUCCCGGGUGCUGGGAUUACAGGUGUGCGCCACCACACCCAGCUGAGAUGUUAAUUCUGGAACACAGAGACAUCUGCACGUGCGGAUGUGUGACCGAUGAGGGAUCAGGAAGGCCAAGUGGGGUCGUCACUGGGACUCUGCUGACUUCUCUGUCCCUCUCUGUAUUAGUUAGCUACCUGCGGCUCACAACAUUGCAGUUUAAGACAACAAACAUUUAUUAUCACAGG
rnacentral:lncRNA from 1 species